UAGUAAAAUCGCCUGCAGGGAGCUCAAGGAGCUGGAGCCUUUGAACCGGGUUUAACAGCAAUGAAGCCAGAUUUUCUUCUGUUCUGCGGCUGUGUUAGCCUCUGUGAUCUCUGAAUAAAUCAAAGAAUUUUUCCUCAAGAAGGAAGCCUUCCACGGCUGGUUUCUUGGGAGCCUUGAAUGCUGUGCUUUGGCAGGGACGAGCAAUGAAGAUGAAGAGGACACAAAUAUGGAAAAUAGAAGGUAAAUUUGACAGAUUGAAGUCUUGGAGGGGAUCAGAGAGGUAGCACUUCAGCUCUCAGAUGAGCCUUGGAUAGGAGCGACUCAUCAACAAAGCAUGAUGACGGGAGAUAAAGACUGCUCCCAUGCAGAAAAUGUGUACAUGGGAGCAAUUAUCAUGUCUUUUUCCUGGAACAUAUUAAAUAAGACUGUCCACAGAAAAUGAGGGAGUUGGAGUAGAGAUGGGUGCCUAGGAAGAGUGGGAGAGGGUUGGAGGAAAUGUUAAAGGAUUGUACACUCCACUGACAUUGGAUGCUAUAAACCUACAUCUACACCAGUACCCAUGUAGUGUGACCGUCUCCAGUAUCUUUCAGAAACCCAAGUUCUGGAGAAGGAGCAUCUCAGAAGUGAAAAAGAUAUGAGCUGGUGGUUUGCAGGCAAGAUGUAGUAGAUGGACAUGGAGACAAAGGAAGCAAGGAUGCCAGCAAGAGAGAGACUGAAGGAUGAGACACACCAUGGAAUUUCAUCAGGAAGGAUAAAGAAAUGAAACCAUGAAGGGGCUAACAGCUUGGGAGAAGAGUUGGGGAGUAAGCGACUGGAGAUUACACAAAGAGAGAAAGCAGUUUUAUUGAUACAACUGACAUACAAAAAGAUAAAAAUUAAACUUAAGAGGACUUCCCUGGUAGUGCAGUGGUUAAAAAUCCACCUGCCAAUGCAGGGGACAUAGAGCCCAUGCUCAGCAACAAGAGAAGCCACCGCAAUGAGCAGCCCGCGCACCACAACGAAGAGUAGCCCCCGCUCGCCGCAACUAGAGAAAGCCCGUGCGCAGAAACGAAGACCCAACGCAGCCAAAAAUAAAUAAAUAAAUUUAAACUUGAGAUAUAACUGACGCAGAGCACUGUGUAAGUUUAAGGUAAACAGGGGUGUUUACUUAUAGUAGAAAAGCACUUUUCUGGAUUUACAGGUAUCCCCUGCUUUUGAAAAGUUCGCUUUUCACCAAUUCACUUUAUGAAAGACCUACGUUAGUACCUGUUUUCGCCAACCGAAAGAAAUCAGAAAAGGAUUUUCGCUUUUACAAAAGACAAAAAGCAAAAAUAGUGUUCAGCGUUUGUUUUGCAGCAAGCUUUUACAGAGUCAGUGCGCAGCCCAAGCAGCAAGAACGGCCCCACCAAACUCCCUCCCCAGGAACUACAUUCAGGAUCUCAGCAUCAGGCCGCCAUAGCUUUGAGCUGUGUCUGUAAGAAUCUGUGUUUUCUCUCCAUUUAUUUUGUGCAUCCGUUAGCAAAAUGUGUCCUAAGGUAAUUGCUUCUUUACGUCUUUCAGCUUACAAAAGGUUUCAUAGGAACUCUCUACUUUUGGAUAGGGGGGAAAACCUGUAAGUCUAUACCAAAGUAGGAAAACAAAAGAUACACCAAGAGGGCAGAAUUUUUCCUGAAAAAUGGGAGAGAACACUUUCCUUAUGGAAGGGAAGAGGGUUCCUACAGUGUCUUAAUAUGCACACAAAGUGUUUCUGCAUCAAAAAAAACAUAAAUCAAGAGACCAUUUUUCUUUCAUCCUGCCCACUUCACUCAAUUGUUACCUGCCUGGAACUCUGUAGGCAAUGCAGCUUGAGAUUCUGGACUAGAGCCAUGCAGGUGGAAAGCAGAAAAAUCAUCUAAAUUUCAUGUCACUAUCCCACAAUAUUCUUUAUACUUAUUGCUAUUCCCUACCACUGAUGUUCAAUCUCCGAAUAUCUCUGAGCCAAUAAGCUUCCCACCAUCACCUCUGUCCGCCAAGUAACUUGGGGCAUCUCGAUCUCAAAGGUUUUGCAGCAUUGCGAGGUGGGGACAUCCUCUAGGCAGGUAGAAAAAUGGUACCGGUGAGGUGAAGAUAAUGGUUGAAGAUAUGAGAGUAGAUGAGUUCACUUAGUUAAAGCAGUGUGGAAAGAAAAGUGCAGAGGUCAAGAUGUAAGAGGCACAAAUAAUUAAAAAGUGAGGAGAGGCAAUUCAAGUAGAGGAAAUUCAGUACAAGUAACUGGUUAACCAAGUGAUGGAAGAGCUGAGAAGCUAAAUGGGCAAUGAGGCAACACAGAGAUUAGCAAUGCCACGAAGUUUUUGCCACCCCUGGGCCUGACGGAACAAAAGAAGGAGAUGGUGAUGCCAGAAACCUGGACUUCUGGUGGGAAGGAGAACAGUGGCGGAGGCUGCCUUCCCGAGCUGGGACUACAGGAAAAGGGCACAGUCCACCGAGCCGGAAAUGACAGAGACUGAACCACUGCCCGAGAAACCACCUUAGCCUCCUGCCAGUUCCUUUCAUGGACCAGAUCUACUCAGAAAGGUAGGUUUGAUACAGACAGAGCAGGGAAAGAGUAGAGAAUGAAUCUGGGAGCAUCCACAAAUAACUAGGUGGAAAUCAGACUAUGGAGGAUUCAAAAGGAAUUGAGGAAUAAGAAACAGAAGCAGCAAAUGUAGACCACACAUUUGUCAUUUGUGCUGUUUCAGUGUUAACUCUGUCCUGUUUGCAUGCUUAUAUUCCUGAGAUUUGGGGGAAACUAAAUAUUCCUAAAAGCUGACUUUAAAAGCUCCAUUUCAAGUUCUUUUUCCCCAGAUGGAAUAGCUUUUCCUCAAGUUUCUCCUUCCUCCUUUUCUGCUGAAACUUAUAACCUCUUUAUUAACUUGUAAUUCCUUUUCUUCAAGAAUAUCAAUGAAGAUAAUAAAUAAUUGUAUGAUUCUCUCCAAUAACAUCCUGAGUUGCCUCCGUGUAUAAGCUCUUUUUACACAAUUUUUAACUCUUCUGCAAUCAAGAAUUCAGCAGCACCGGGACCUCCCUGGUGGUUCAGUGGUUAAGAAUCCACCUUCCGAAGCAGGGAACAUGGGUUCAAUCCCUGAUCGGGGAACUAAGAUGUCACAUGCCGCAGGACAACUAAGCCCAGGUGCUGCUUAGAGAGCCCAUGCACU